rnacentral:rRNA from 1 species
UACCAGCACCCCGAGUGGUCGGGACGUUUAUUGGGCCUAAAGCAUCCGUAGCCGGUUCUACAAGUCUUCCGUUAAAUCCAACUGCUUAACAGGUGGGCUGCGGAAGAUACUAUAGAGCUAGGAGGCGGGAGAGGCAAGCGGUACUCGAUGGGUAGGGGUAAAAAUCCGUUGAUCCAUUGAAGACCACCAGUGGCGAAGGCGGCUUGCCAGAACGCGCUCGACGGUGAGGAUGAAAGCUGGGGAGCAACCGG